rnacentral:rRNA from 1 species
UGUUUAUUGAAUUAAAUAAAUAAUAAAUAAUUUCUGCCCAGUGAAAUUUCAACGGCCGCGGUACUUUGACCGUGCAAAGGUAGCAUAAUCAUUUGCCUUUUUAUUGGAGGCUAGAAUGAAUGAAUAAACAUAGGUGGACCUGUGCCCUAUAAUCAUAUAAAAAUUAUUCUCCAGGUGAAGAAACCUGGAUAUUAUAAAAAGACAAAAAGACCCUAUCAAGCUUUAUAUUUAUUUAUAACUCUUAUAUUUUAUAUUUGGUUGGGGCGACUAAUGAGAAUUAAUACUCUCUCAAUAUUAUAAAGAAAAAUUCUUCUAUUUUAUUUAAUAUUAUAUUAUAAAAAAGCUACUGUAGGGAUAACAGGCUAAUAUUAUCCUAGAGUUCAAAUUAAAGAUAAUGAUUGGCACCUCGAUGUUGGCUUAGGACCCUCCCUUUUUGUAGAAAAAAAGAAAGGUAGUUUGUUCAACUAUUAUACCCCU